rnacentral:lncRNA from 1 species
CCCCCUCGAGCCAGUCCAGGCUCAAAUCUCUUGCCAGGAGCAUCACUCCCUCUUUGAUCGCUCGCGGCUCGACUAUCUCACCAGAAUUCUGGAAGAAAACGAUGAGGAGCUCCUCCUCCAGCUGCCACAACAACAGCAAACCUCUUACCAGGUACUGCUCCGCGAGCUCACGGAAAUUGUCUCCUGUUGUCUCUCCCCCAAUUCUUGUGCCAGCAGUUCCUUGUCCAUGGACGCCGCCUCUCCUCCUCAUUCUCCCUCGCGCACCUCCAGCGUCUCCUUCCACAGCUUGCUCAUGGACUGCGCCCGAGCAGUGGCUGCCAACAACUCCACCAAAGUCCAUGAGCUCGUGAGAGAGAUCAGAACUUUAGCCUCACCUCAGUCGCGUCCAGUGGAGAAGGCCGCGCUCUACUUCACCAACGCGCUCGUCGCGAGGCUGGCCGGGUGUGGAGCUCGGAUGUACGCC